UGCAAGUCGAGCGGAUGACGAGAGCUUGCUCUCUGAUUUUAGCGGCGGACGGGUGAGUAACACGUGGGCAACCUGCCCUACAGAUGGGGAUAACUCCGGGAAACCGGGGCUAAUACCGAAUAAUCAGUUUGUCCGCAUGGACAAACUCUGAAAGACGGUUUCGGCUGUCACUGUAGGAUGGGCCCGCGGCGCAUUAGCUAGUUGGUGGGGUAAUGGCCUACCAAGGCAACGAUGCGUAGCCGACCUGAGAGGGUGAUCGGCCACACUGGGACUGAGACACGGCCCAGACUCCUACGGGAGGCAGCAGUAGGGAAUCUUCCACAAUGGACGAAAGUCUGAUGGAGCAAUGCCGCGUGAGCGAAGAAGGUUUUCGGAUCGUAAAGCUCUGUUGUAAGGGAAGAACACGUACGGGAGUAACUGCCCGUGCCAUGACGGUACCUUAUUAGAAAGCCACGGCUAACUACGUGCCAGCAGCCGCGGUAAUACGUAGGUGGCAAGCGUUGUCCGGAAUUAUUGGGCGUAAAGCGCGCGCAGGCGGUUCUUUAAGUCUGAUGUGAAAGCCCACGGCUCAACCGUGGAGGGUCAUUGGAAACUGGAGAACUUGAGUACAGAAGAGGAAAGCGGAAUUCCACGUGUAGCGGUGAAAUGCGUAGAGAUGUGGAGGAACACCAGUGGCGAAGGCGGCUUUCUGGUCUGUAACUGACGCUGAGGCGCG
rnacentral:rRNA from 1 species